rnacentral:lncRNA from 1 species
GCACUUUUUCGCAUUGCAUACGGCUCGCCAAUGGAAUUUGCUUUUUACCCUUCAUCAAACAAGGAUAAAAAGGGGGUUCUAUUAUACCCAGAUGGGUAAAUGAUCCAAUUACCACCCUUCUUUUUUUUUGAGGAGUUCAAAAAUACUAUGAUGGCUCCGUUGCUUUAUAUAUUUAUUUUUUUUGUGAUUCAGCAAUCCCAAAGUUUCUUUUUUUUUUUUUUCAAAUCAAAAUCAAAAAAGAAAUAAAUCAAAAAUAAUCUUCUUUUUUGAUUUUCGUACUCUUUCAUACCAUAAAUCUUGUUAAUUGUUAAUUGUUAAGAACCUUUCGGCGUGAAAAAGGUGUGUGGCGCUGCAAUAGGCCUCCGAUAGGUAAGAUAAACUCGGAAUACCCC